AAAUUGAAGAGUUUGAUCAUGGCUCAGAUUGAACGCUGGCGGCAGGCCUAACACAUGCAAGUCGAGCGGUAGCACAGAGAGCUUGCUCUCGGGUGACGAGCGGCGGACGGGUGAGUAAUGUCUGGGAAACUGCCUGAUGGAGGGGGAUAACUACUGGAAACGGUAGCUAAUACCGCAUAAUGUCGCAAGACCAAAGUGGGGGACCUUCGGGCCUCAUGCCAUCAGAUGUGCCCAGAUGGGAUUAGCU
rnacentral:rRNA from 3 species